AAGAAGCGACUGUCCCAUGCUUCCUACUCUUUCCUUUUGUGAUUGGCAGUGCCUAUUAUGGAUAUCUUGCCUGGUCUCCUCAUUGAAUUUGGGUAAUUAUCCUGAUGCAUGAAAACUGUGUGAGACAAAGAGGCCUAGACCAUGCCACGUUCCCCAUUGUCUUGGCAUCAUCAGCACACCUAGAGGCAGAGCAUGGUAUUGCAGAGAAGAAAUGGGAACCUUCAAGGCUUUUUGGAAAAGUGUCAUAUUGAAACUAUGAAUCCAAUUAUGUAAUAAAUCCUGAUUUAUACUUA